rnacentral:rRNA from 1 species
CGCUGAACUUAAGCAUAUCAUUAAGCGGAGGAAAAGAAACUAACAAGGAUUCCCCCAGUAACGGCGAGUGAAGCGGGAAGAGCUCAAGCUUAAAAUCUCCAUACUUGUAUGGCGAAUUGUAGUCUAUUGAGGCUGUUGUCAGCAUCGCGAUUGGGGACAAGUCCCUUGGAAAAGGGCAGCAUGGAGGGUGAUACUCCCGUCUCUGCUCCAAUUUGCGGUGUGUACGAUACGCUUUCUUUGAGUCGAGUUGUUUGGGAAUACAGCUCAAAGUAGGUGGUAAAUUCCAUCUAAAGCUAAAUAUUGGUGCAAGACCGAUAGCGAACAAGUACCGUGAGGGAAAGAUGAAAAGAACUUUGAAAAGAGAGUUAAAGAGUACCUGAAACUGUUGAAAGGGAACCGUAUCGCUUCCAGUGUUUUAUCUCGUGCAUAUUUCAUUCGCGGAGCAAUUUGCGGGUGCCCUGUGCAUGGGUGUGACGUCAGGGUCAGUUUGUAUGCUGCGGGAGAUGGUCAGUGAGGAGGUGCGUCACUUCGGUGAAAGUUAUAUCUCGCUGUCUAGUAGCCGUGGUUGAGACUGAGGUGCCUACAACAUGCCUUAAAGUUCCGCGUUGUCUCGUGUUGGUGACUGCUUUGAUAGCUUGCUAUGUCUGUGGUUCAUCAAUGCGAUCGGUGGUGUGGAUAACUUUUGCUGUUCGGGACUCUGGCGAAAUGGAGCGAUACGACCCGUCUUGAAACACGGACCAAGGAGUCUAACAUGUGUGCAAGUAUUAGGGCGUGGAAACCCAAAUGCGUAAUGAAAGUAAAUGCUGCUUAUGCRGCUUUGGUAGGAAAGGGCUGUCAAGGUCCUGGCACUAUCGACCGAUCAUGAGCCUACGGGCAAAAGAUUUGAGUAUGAGCAUAUAUGUUGGUACCCGAAAGAUGGUGAACUAUGCCUGAAUAGGGUGAAGCCAGGGGAAACUCUGGUGGAAGCUCGUAGCGAUUCUGACGUGCAAAUCGAUCGUCAAAUUUGGGUAUAGGGGCGAAAGACUAAUCGAACCAUCUAGUAGCUGGUUCCCUCCGAAAUUUCCCUCAGGAUAGCAGCAACUUUUUACGAUAGUUUUAUGAGGUAAAGCGAAUGAUUAGAGGCCUCGGGGAAGAAACUUCCUCGACCUAUUCUCAAACUUUAAAUGGGUAAGACCUGUGGGUUUCUUAAUUGAACCUGUGGACGUGAAUAUCCAAGUUGUUAGUGGGCCAUACCGGGUAAGCUGGUCUGGCG